rnacentral:tRNA from 1 species
GCAGUCGUGGCCCAAUCGUUAAGGCGAUGGACUAGAAAUCCAUUGGGGUCUACCGGCACAGGCUCGAAUCCUGUCGACUGCG